AGGCAUAUAGUUCAGAUGGUAGAACGCUUGCUUUGAAUGCGAGAGGUGCAGAGUUCGAUCCCCUGCAUCUCCA
rnacentral:tRNA from 1 species